rnacentral:rRNA from 1 species
UACGGAGGGGGCUAGCGUUGUUCGGAAUUACUGGGCGUAAAGCGCGCGUAGGCGGCUAUGUAAGUUAGAGGUGAAAGCCCGGAGCUCAACUCCGGAACUGCCUUUAAGACUGCAUCGCUAGAAUUGUGGAGAGGUAAGUGGAAUUCCGAGUGUAGAGGUGAAAUUCGUAGAUAUUCGGAAGAACACCAGUGGCGAAGGCGGCUCACUGGACCGGCAUUGACGCUGAGGUGCGAAAGCGUGGGGAGCAAACAGG